AAAUUGUUCCAUAUUAAGACAGCGAAAGGGAUUUUAUUGCGACGGACUACAGAAACCUUAUCAGCCCAGCGUGUCAACGUCUUCGUCGUUCUCCUCUGUUUCUUCGUCGGAGUAUCGAACUAUGGCCUCCCGAAUAAUAACCUAUACCGCAGCGUCUUACACAUGUUGCUGUUCCAACUCCGGGUUGUGCACCGUUCUGGCAAUUUAAUUGCAACGGAGUCCGGGGUAAAAUACAACGUUGUUAUGGUUAUAACGUAUUGAGGAAUUUUGCAUUUUGAGUUCUCAGUGGAUUGAUUAUUUCCAUAUCUAAUCAAAAUUGAAAAUUUGGGUAUGGCAACCAUAUAACUCGAUUUUUCGUUUUUUUUCAAUAAGAAUUUUCAAUUCCAAAAGGAAUUCUGAAACAUUUCUACACAAAAUUCCAUAUCAUAGCGUUAUGAAGACUACAUUAAGAAUUUAUUCAUAACUUGGUAGGGAAGGGCUCGGAAAUGUACAUAUUCUCCCGUUAACCAAUUUUAAGCCACGAAAACAGAUAAAAUAUGCUACGCUUUUUUCAUAGUCAAUUAGUAAGAAUUUACACCCAUUCGGACGAGCUACACCUAAUCGUCAAGCACGUGCUGGCCGCUAUGAGAACUGUGUAAAAAAAUCAAAUCAUAUAUUCAACACUAUUAAAGGCCAAACGUUACGCUAUAAUGUCGCUAAAAUCAUCAAAAUACGGAACUUAACCUGCCUACUGGCAAAAUACACAAUGUCAAUCCUGGCCCCAAAAAUGUUUGUGUAAAUAAUAAAUUAUGUAUUACCUUAUCUCCUUUAUUACAUACUUACUUUUGAAAAUGCGUCCUAUAUUUGUACAGAUACUACUAACUACUAAAUAACACUAAAUUUGGUAUUGGGUGAUGAAAUAAGGCUGAAAUCCCGAAAUUCGUUGGUUAGGUCUCUCUUGGUGUCUGUGGUUAAGAUAUGGAAGUGGUUUUGCAAAUGUACCCUAUAUUUGUACGAAUACUACUUGAUAAUACUAAAAUUGGUAUUGUGUCAUUUAAAAUAUGGAGGUACUUUUGAAAAUGCGUCCUACAUUUGUAAAGAAACUACUAACUACUAAACAACGCUAUAUUUGGUACUGGGUGUAGAAAUAAGGCUGGAAUCACGAAAUUGUUUAUUUAGUUCUCUGUUGGUGUCUGUGAUUACGAUGUGGAGGUGGUUUUGGAAAUGCGUCCUAUAUUUGUACAAAAACUACCAACUGCCACACUUGGUAUUGGAUAAAGAAAUUCGGCUGAAAUCCCUAUAUUUGUUAUUUAGGUGUCUGAUGUUGUCAUGCGUUAAAAUACGGAGGUGGUUUUUGUAAUGAGUCCUGUAUUUGUACAAAAACUACUAAAUGACACCAAAUCUUGUAUUGGUUGAAGCAAUGAUUUUUAGGUCUCUGUUGGUGUCGGUGUUUAAUAUAUGACGAUAUAGAUAUUUAAGAUAUUUGCUCAAAACCUACUAAAUGAUCCUAAAUUUGCUAUUAUUCGAAUGAACAAGCAUGGAAUCCCGAAAUUUGUUUUUUAGGUCUCUGUUGAGAUAUUUUGUUGGUAUCUGUGGUUAUGAUAUGGAGGUACUUUGGAAAAUGCGUCCUAUAUUUCUACAGAAACUACUAAAUAAUAAUAAAUUUUCAUAAAAACUUCA